rnacentral:pre_miRNA from 1 species
AAAUCACCCCCUAAGUUUUGCAACUGUAGCAGUUUUGGCCCCCCAAGGCCAAUUUUUGGUAGAAAAAAAUAACAUGUGGCACCUCACUUAGGGUGCCACGUCAGCGUAGACCGAGUCAAAAUUGGUCUUGGAUGUCAAAACUGUCACACAUGCAAAACUUAAGGGGCGGUUU